GCCCUGGCUCAGUGGUUAGAGCAUCGGCCAGUGGACCGAAGGGUCUGCGGUUCGAUUCCCAGUCAAGGGCA
rnacentral:tRNA from 1 species